rnacentral:rRNA from 1 species
UCCGUAGGCGGUGCGGCAAGUCGGAAGUGAAAUCUCAGGGCUUAACCCUGAGGCUGCUUCCGAAACUGCCGUGCUCGAGUGCGAGAGAAGCGAGUGGAAUUGCAGGUGUAGCGGUGAAAUGCGUAGAUAUCUGCAGGAACAUCCGAGGCGAAAGCGGCUCGCUGGAUCGCAACUGACACUGAGGGACGAAAGCUAGGGGAGCAAACAGGAUUAGAUACCCUGGUAGUCCUAGCCCUAAAUGAUCAGGACUGGGCGUGGGCCUCGUACGGGGCUCGUGCCGCAGCUAACGCGUUAAGUCCUGCGCCUGGGGAGUACGGUCGCAAGGCUGAA